rnacentral:rRNA from 1 species
AACGAACGCUGGCGGCAGGCUUAACACAUGCAAGUCGAACGCAUCGCAAGAUGAGUGGCAGACGGGUGAGUAACGCGUGGGAACAUACCCUUUUCUACGGAAUAGCUCUGGGAAACUGGAAUUAAUACCGUAUACGCCCUACGGGGGAAAGAUUUAUCGGGGAAGGAUUGGCCCGCGUUGGAUUAGCUAGUUGGUGGGGUAAAGGCCUACCAAGGCGACGAUCCAUAGCUGGUAUGAGAGGAUGAUCAGCCACAUUGGGACUGAGACACGGCCCAAACGCCUACGGGAGGCAGCAGUGGGGAAUAUUGGACAAUGGGCGCAAGCCUGAUCCAGCCAUGCCGCGUGAGUGAUGAAGGCCUUAGGGUUGUAAAGCUCUUUCACCGAUGAAGAUAAUGACGGUAGUCGGAGAAGAAGCCCCGGCUAACUUCGUGCCAGCCGCCGCGGUAAUAC